CUGAGGCAGCACCGGAGCGUGUAGCCAGCUCCCCCCGCAGCCAGGCUCAUGGUUCGGGAACCCGCGGGUGCAGCUGAGGACUCGUAAAUUCUCCAACCCUCGUGCCCGGGGCCGCUGCAGCACCGGAGCCCGAGGACACCGCGGUGCUGUCCUCGUGCACCAGGGACCGCCUUCCCUGUUCCGUGGGAUCCAUCUCUGGCUGUCCAGCUUGGGGCAGGACAUUUACCCGCAACUGGGUGUGUGGGAAGCCAGCGCUGCUUGUCCUAGCGCACACAUUUGGGAAACCGCUGUAAUCCCAGCGUUGUGCAGUUGCCCACAUCCUCCAGCGCUGGAUCCUGCGGGAGAUCCUGAGGUCCUUGCUGGCUUUUGUGGGGUAUCCACCUUUCCCCAGUCGGACAUGGGAGCCACACGUUACGGAUAUGCACAUGCCAGUCCCCUGCACUGCUGGCACAGCAUCUUUGCACACACAUCCCAUGUAGUCUGUCUGCGCAACACCUUCCUCUCGUCCGUGGGACGGCUUCCCCUUAUUUUGUGACUUUUUGGAGCAUUGUGCAUGCUCCCAUGGGAUAAAGUGUGGGUCUCCUCUCCUCUCACGCUAGUGCUGCCACCGUAAGAUUUUCACUCUUGCACACAGGUUUCCAGAAGAGGUACGUGGGGUGCUUGCCUCCAUCCCUCUCUGUGCUCCCGACCCUCUCUGUGUGGGGAACAAGCACCAGCUGUGGGAACUCUUCUCCCCAGAUGUGCAGCCCCUGAAGCUGUGUGCUGAGUGGGUAGCUAGGGCACCUCUUGGGCUCUGUGCCAGUGAACCAGACACAGCUUUUCCCACCGCACUUCUGCUGCCAGUGACUGAUGGGUGAAAUGAACAGAGAGGGAUGAGGGGGAACGCUGGACAACAGGAUAUGCCGUCUGCUUGCUACCCUUGCCUGCCUUGCCAAAGAUACUGGUGUGGGGUCUUCCCUCUCUGCUGAAAAGGUGCAUUGGGACAGGGGGCUUGGAUUGGCCUCAUUUCCAUAUGUGAUUAUCAGAGCAGAAAUGAAGCUCUGAGGAGCUGGAGAGGAGCUUCAGCUCUAGCAGGUGAUGCCUGUGAAAUUGUAUAUUGUCUGUCAGUGCAUUUGUCCUUCCAACCACCCUGGGCCAUUUGCAUUCCUGUCCUUGGCUUUGUUUUAAUGACCUUUGCUCUCACAAGCAAAAUGGUCUCAAACCCGCCAGAUUCAGAUUCAGGUGUCAGUAAUUCUUCCUGGCGUGUAACUGAGGUUUUUGCGGCACACUUCGCUGCUUUCUGCAGUGGAAGCACCAAGACAGGCACAGAUUAGAUGUACAGGGCUGCCACAGAUGCUCUGAGAGCCAGUCCAAGGGGACUGGGCUCUGUGACAAGUUCAGAAGUAGCAGCAGCUCUGACCGAGUUACAGAAGGAAAUGCCAAGGAAUUUGAGCUCUAUCCAGAAAGGCUGACAGAUAUCCUGCUGAGGAAAGCUGAUAACCUUGUCACCCUUCUGCUCUUGCCUCUCAGUCUUCAUUUUUAUCCCAUUAGAGGGGAACUGGCUUAUAGUUGUUCCCAUAUUAUGUUCUUGCCAGGUUCUGCUUUGGUAGAAAUGGUUAUGAAUGAAGAAAGGAGGAUUAUUUUCCUUCUUAAAUCUUGCUUUCUAUCCAUGCCAGCUGCCUGUUCUUCCUCUGCUCUUGUAAAAACACCCACAGGUUUUUCUGGGAGUGUCUGUGUCCCUUCUCUUCAGUAAGAGAGACAGAUGGAGCUGAGAGGUGUGUCCUCCACUGCAUUCAGAAACAGUUCCCAAAGCAGUGUCUGACGCCCAUCCCCUCCUGACCUCGGACAGCAUCUCAUCGGUACCAUUUCCUUGCAGCAUUCCAUGACCACUCCUGUCUGCUUCUGGAUGCUUUUUGCUGGUUGCUUCCCAUUCAGCUGAGCAAGCUCAGCUCCAUCUCCUGAGCACCCAGCACCCUUGUUCCAGGAGGGCCACCCUGCAGGAUGGGACCCUUUGCACUAAGUAUGUGCUUUGUUUGUAAAGCAACUGCACAGUCUUUUAAAAGCCUUUUAAAGAAGCCACAUCUAUGGUGUCACACUAAGGAGCAAAGUGCCACCAGUGACAGCUCAUGUUAGCAUUUGUUCUGCAGAGAACAUGGAAGGCAAAAACAGCUUUUUUUUUAGGUAAAUGGUGCCCUAGGGCAGUAAUGGCUGCAGGGGUGAGGUAGGUGACAUCUCUGUGGCAUUUGCCAGAUGGUGGCCCUUUGAGGAUAUCAGCUGGUGGUGCAGCGUGUGGCAGCUGGAAUCCAGCCAGACCCCUGCAUCACUUUUUCCUUCUUUUUUUUUAACCCCUCCCCUCUUCCCCUCUUGCAAAAACAAAGCCUGCAUGAGGUCCAGCCUGAUCUUUUCCUCCUCUCUCUGCUGCAAGUUCCAUGUUUCAGCCAGCACUGCCAGUGGCCAGCAUGGGCUGCUGGAGGGAAGUUAGCAAUAGCCAGUUCCCAGCAGGCAGAGUUCCUGCACAUGAUUUUGCAUUAGUCAGAGCCUUGUUUCUCCUGCUGCAGCACAAGCCUUUUCUGGAAAGGUUUUUCUUUACCAGGAGGGGCAUGAAUACAAUGUGAGAGGAAACACACUGACCAUUUUUGCUCAGAAGCCCAGUAGUAAGCAUUUCCCCAUGUUUUUACAUUUCUGGGAAAUACUAAUUUGUGUCUUUCAGAGAGAAGCAGAAUCCUUUUGGAAGGGGCAAAGGGAAGGGAAGAAAUCAGGCUCCCAUGUAAUGGAUAGUGUUUUACGAGUGCUGCUGGCCAUCUGUGCAUUGGCCAUUGCUGCUGGAGGAUCCAGGACAACAGCUUGAAGCACCACAUUCUGAUUUCACUGGGAAAGGUCCAGCAGAAGCCAUGUCAGAAACUGACAACAGAAGCCACGUGCUAAAAAUAAUUACAGCAGGACCUAUCUGCAUGGAAACUCCACAGAAUUUAGAAACUGCAGCAUUUCUUUCCAUCCAAACUACUUUAAAUUUGAACUCUGGAAGGAAACAGAGAAAAAGGAGUGUAUCACUGCGUAACACCAUGCUGCACCCACAUCCUGACGGUCAUAUGGCUGAAGCUGUAUGAUUAUAUGGUUCAUAUGAUAGUGGGAAGUUUAUAACACAACUACAAAACUGCUGUUUUGUAGGAGCACUGCUACAGCAGCAGUUUCUACUUACAGGUACUCAUAGGUCUGGGAUCACUCCUGCAGAUCUGCCUGGCACUGGCCAGCUGCCCUCGUAGCUAUUUCUAGAUGUCCCUCCACUUCUUCCUACUUUUCUGUGCAAUGCCAAACUCUUAAUUUCUUGGGUUUGGUAGAAACAGUCUGGAGAAGGAUCAUGGCUGGAUUUCUGGGCAUGGCUGCAGUUGUUCUUUGUGGGUGUGUUCUGGCAGCCAUCAACUUCUUUUGGGAGCAAAUCCUCAUCCAGCAUGUUGCAGGUCUGCUCUUCCUGACUGUGGUAUUUCUUCUGCUGCUCUUCUAGGCCGCUCUAAGAUCUCAAGAACUCCCAUCAGGCUUUGGCCUUUGGUAAUGAGUUGGACAGUGUCCCACAGACCACAUCAGGAGCUCUUGCCUGGCAAAGGUAGAGCUGCACUGACUGUACUAGGAACUCCCUGUUGCCUGACAAGGUAUACAUCAUUCUCAGUUGUUCAUCCACUUGGCAAGUUUUUCUGUCUUCCACACUGUGCCCUUGGAAUAACAUUACCAAGUGAGGAAAAACAUUCUUUUUGCUAGAAGUAAGUCUCUUCUCUUCACAUGAAAAAGCUAAAGCAUACCCAGUAGACACAUGCAAGUGUUGCAAAGAAAUAACACAGAAAAGUUUAUUUUCCACUCCAGGAGAUCUCAAUAACAACAAUCUCAGACUCACCAGAAGUAAACUUUAAAGUAAUGCUGCAAAACACAUGGGAAAACAUACAUCCAGCUCUUAAAAAGAGCAGGGAACUUCUUCAGGCAAGAUGUGCUUCUAAGAAUAUUGCUGAAGGUGAAAAUCCAUUUACAUUUAAUAUUACUAUAUUUGGUUUUCAGUUUGAUAAAAUAAUUUAGGUUGGGAAAAAAACAUUAAGACGAUCCAGCCCAACCAUUAACCUAACACUGCCAAGUCCACUACUAAAACAUGUUCAUAUGUGCCACAUCUACACAUCUUUUAAACACCCCAGGGUUGGUGACCCAAUCACUUCCCUGAGCAGCCUGCUCCAAUGCUUGACAAACCUUUCAGUGAAGUCUCUCUUUACCAAAGAAACUCCUCUCAAUAACAAGAGGCUUUGACUAAAUAAGGAUUUGGGGACUUUUAUCACAUAACACUAUUUUACAAUACAAAGAUUUGAAAGACUUUUAGGCAUCUUCCACCUCUCCUAAAAAUGAAAGAGAGAAAAGCAGUACCUUAGGACACCCAAAGAAAGUGAGGUGAGCUAACAAAUGGCACAUGAUUUGUUCCAGUCAGUGGGGUUCCACUGGAUCACUGCCAUACUGCUUUUCAAAUGUAUCAGGAUUUAUGUCAUGAUGGUUAGGUGUGGAGAACUCAACACCACUGGCACUUCAGAUGCCAGCAGCAAAUAAUAAAAGACCUAAGCUUGUCAAGCAUCAUGGCUCUACUCACUAGCCAGUAUCUGCAAAUGGAACUUAAAAUCCCUACCUUCGUAACUUCCUAAAUGGGCCCUAACCUAACUCCCAAACAUUUCUAAUCUGAAGAGUUAUCUUCAUUAGUUUGGAAUAUGGAUCCAGCUUUUUCACCCUUGGAAUUCUUCCAUGGAUCAAAGGCAAUAUAACCUUCAAACCCCAUUUUUUGGGUUGCAUGAGCCUCCCACCAGUUUGCAAAUGAAAAACUUCCUAGGACAGAAAAAACUUCUCAAGUUGAAAAGGCAAUUCUGAAGCUAGCUUAUCCCUUUGGAAACUUUAAAAGGUAUCUCCUUUCUGUGUUCCACUGAUCCUUAAUGGCUUUCAAACUCAGGAAACAGGAAAACUGACCAUUGUUUUCAAUCCACUCUUCUUAGUAUUGGAUUACACUUGGCUUUGAAAGAGGGAGAAGAAAAGAAGACUACCCUGGCUCAGUUCAUGGCAAGUGGAUUGAAGAGUCUUACUGGUGAUGCUCUGAUGGUGAUGAAUUCCCUUCCUCACCUCCAGCUUCCCAAGGAAAUAUUUUGCUUAGGAUGGACCAACAAAGCAAAUAAGACCAGAAAAGGAUGGCCCAAGGGAAGGAUGAUCAGUGCAAGCUGACAAAAGAUUCUCCUGCCAUUCUGUGGGGCUGACUCACCUUCACCAUACCACCACCACAUUCCUGCAUUGGAUGAGUGAGAUCAACAAUUACUGAAGACCAGUGCUAAAGAAGGGGCUUUUCAGCCAAGAAAUUAAAUAAAGGUUUGAAAUGCCCAUUUGAAGCAACCCACUAUUAGCCACUAUUUGAAGCAAACCACUAUUAUUAUUAGCUUGGCUCAACUCUGAGGCAAAAUGACAGUGAGGGCUGAAAGGAAACACCCAAAAGCAGAUAAGGUGUUGAGCUGGAUAGUCCAAUAUACGGUAACAGAAAGGAAAAUUAUUUCUGGUCUGAGAUCCUUUCCACCUAGCGGGGGGCUGGUGAAAGCCUGCUAGUGAAUCUGCAAGGAAGGCCUAUGAUUUUAGACAAGUAGACCUCAGCCAAGAAAGAUUAUUGCUUUAUUUGCCUAGCCAUGCAUUAAGCUUGUCUAAGUCAUCCUUUCCUCUCUCUCCUUUCUGUUAUUCCCAUGCCUUGUAAAGAUAUUUCUGAGUGUGGCCCAUGUAACAAAGUCAUUCCUUGUUAGUUUGCACUGCCACUUGUACAGCUUGCAAGACAAGCCACAACAACCUCCACAGGACAAGUAAAGGAUUCAGACUUUCCCAGCCUGCAUAGGAUCAGACCACAGAGGUGGAGAAUCUUUGGAAUAAAGCAAACCUGAAGCUGAUGAAUGUCACAAACCAUUUACACCAAGUCCCAAGCAUGUGAAAGGUCACACUUAACUCUCCAUUUCCUGGACAACAUCCAGUAGGAGCUGUAUGUCUCUGGGUAUCUUCAGCUUCUUCCCAAUAGAAUAUCCCAAGUCAGAGAAUCAAAGCUUUCUGAAGGCAGUGGCAGUGCUGCAGAAUAAAGGCACGUCUUUACCUGUGACAAUCUGAAAAAUGAGCAGCAGGUAUGCUUUUGUUCACCUUGCAAAGCUGCCUGCCAGCUCUUCCAUGGGUUAUGCAGCCAGGUUCAUGCUCCUGUACUUAUCCUCACAAACAGCACUAUAAAGCCAGCAACCCAAUGCAGACUGGAAAGUGAAAAAUUCAUGAAAGCGUGGUUUACCUUGCAGAUUUUCUGUUAUUAGUGCUAUGAGAGUACGACUCUCCUAACAGUGGGCUGGACAGUUAGAAAUUAAUUGCUGCUUCUGAACAUUUAAUACAUCUUUGCAAGCAAAAUGCAAAAGAAGAGCCAAUCUUCAGAGCACUUAGCACAGAUGUUCAGAUACAUAUGAAUGCCAUGUUAAUUCUUCAUCCCCUUUUUCUCCUCCCAGGGAUCUGGUUACAGCCCAAAUCACUCGACAUCUGUCAGAGCCAGGGUCUCUGGUGUAUCUCCCUGGAGUUACAUCCUGGGAACUGUUCUCUUAACAAUGGUGCUGCACUGCACCCUUGUGAUGAUGAAGGCUGGUCACAUGCCAAGCUGUGCUGGCCAGAGUGUAACCAGCAUGUGAAAGGGCAAGAUUAAGGGUCCUCCAUCCCUCUGGGUGCUCAAAACUGACUGCACAAGGCCCUGAGCAGCCUAGAACAGCUUUGGAGUUAGCCUCACUCCCAGCAGAUGACAGGAUGAAAGAACUCCAGCAGCCCCUUCUCACCUAAACCCCACUGUGAUUCUGUGCCAGCCUUUCCAGAACUAGAGAUGCUUCUUGGAUCAACACUUGUAACAGAACAAUUUUAACUACAAGCAGAAGGACAAAUACCCUACAGCUCUCCUCAAAACAUACAAAAAUAACAGCUUCUGACCAGUGGUAGAGACAGCAAGUAUUUGAUGCAUAUUUGAAAAGCAUGACAUUAAAGUAACUUCCAUUAUCCUAGACACCAAGGCAAAUCAUAUCUUUUAAGUAAGAAAUCAAGGUACAUAUAUUGUUAUUAAUAGGAAAUAAUAUUUCUUACCAUUCAUUCCUGUACAAAAUAAAUAUGCAUACUUCAUCACCCAUGCACAUGCAAAAAACACCUUGCUUUUGUCUGUUGUGAAUUUCCUAUAUAGGACUCAUCUAGAUACAGACUUUGAAGUCCAGAAUGAGGUCAUAAAAUUAUUUCCUUCAACCCAGAUCAUGAAAGAAAACAGAUUCCACCUCUUAAGAGAAACGCAUCUUCGUUUAAAUACUCCUACUACAAAACAUCAGCAGUUCAACACUGAGCUUUAUGAGCUCAAGUAGUACAUUUAAGUUACAAGCAACAUUUUAUCUGGGUUUGCCUUGUCUGUGUUGCCAUCAGACAGAAAAAAACCCAAUCUCUCAUUAUAUGCAUUUUUGUGAUAUUUACAAGUUUACCAUUAUGGUCUAGGAUGAGCAUAAAGCCACCCUCAGGAUAAUCUUAGGUUAAUUAAACCCCAUGAGAACUAUGACACAGAAAGGGAUCACAUAGCCCACAGUUUUAUUUGUUGCCCCACAAAGCUGUUAAAAUGUCUUUCAGAGCCCUCAUCUUUCAGCAAUGGAUCUUAACCAAUGACAACUUCAGUUUAUUUACAUGCAGUUUUUUCAUGUGAAUUUGAUUUUGAAGUAACUGUUUUUGAUACAAACAAGCCUCUAAACUAAAAUAAAGAUUUUGCUUAAAAUAAAAUAGCAGUUCAGGUUUUUUUCCAAUUCAUGGUGAUGUCUGAUAAAAAAUGACAUUGAUUUAUCCUCUUAAGUACAGGUGCAAGCUUGCAGAACUUCCUUUUGCACCUGUGUUUGUAGGUUGUGUGCUAGAAGCCUUUUUAUGGUGCUUCUCUUAGCCUACCUGUGAAUUUCAAGGAAAGGAGAUCUCUUCAUUUCUUCCUUUGUGUCUUUGUGCAGAAGUUGACACUUCUGACCACCCUCAGCCUGAGAGUGCAUUUGUUCUUUGAAUUAGCUCUGCCUCAUGGCAGCUGCUUUGCUCACCUGUCCAGCAAGGUGGGCAAGGCAGAUGCAUCACCUCUGUUUGCUCCCCUAUGCUGGAGCUCCAAAAAGAAAAGUAAUGUUAACUGUAAAAACACAUUCAUUAACACUAGAUUUGCCUAUAUUCUAUUGCAUUUUCCAAAAAAGCUACUAUUAGAAGUCAAUACAAAACAAUUUAAUGUCAUCACAGGAUGCAGCCUAUGGGAUAAUGCACAGGAAAUUAAUGUGUUAAUUUAACUUAAUGUGAACAAGACUAGUGAAAAUAGGAUACAUGACUAAAUCAACAGUAGAGAUAAUUUUGCUUACAGAAAGUUACUUACCACAGGUAAUAAAAAUGUUUGCUUAAAUUACAUUUACCAUAGCUUAAGAAAAUCUUAUCAGAGACACAGUUCCUGUCUCUUGUGGUGUGAAAGCUGUUUUGGGGAGUGGGUGUAAAACCUCCUCAGUGUGUGGAUGGAGAACAUAUUGCACUGUCUGUACAUAACUGUUUUCUGCUGGGGAAAAUCCUCAAUAUUAGAAGAAAAUACUAUGAUAGUGCUUUUACAUUUUUAAUAAUAAUAACAAUAACAAUACUGGAGUAGACUUUUACUUUUCCACAGCUGUUCUACCUUUUUGUAUAUAAAAAGUAAGCAAUCACAAUGUUAUGGAAUAUCACGAAAGAAUAUUUUGUGCCACAUCAUGGGAGUGAGGAAAGAUUUAGAAGAAAAACCUGAAAUUGCCAAGCUGGAUUGGUGCUCCAGUUGCAUUUUUGAGGAGUGUGUGUAGUUGUCAUAUUCUCACUAUGACGAUAUACAAUCCAUCUUUCCCCUCUGAACACCAUCCAGCGCUGUAUCCAAAUGUUUCAAGUAAUUUUCCUUUGGUACUUUGAGGCAAUUUGUUCCGCUGCCACCUGAACCGGGAUAGGGAAAGACACGACCCGUUUGCAGUCACAGGCAGAGGGAUCACAGCAGAAUCUCUUGUCUUUCCCAGUGCUGCAGAUCCAAUUGCAGACUCUUGGUGGAGCAGGAUAUUUACAAGUUGCUUGUCACUGCACGCUCUUAGUUCUGCGUGUGCGUGAGGAACAGCUCACACUGCUGUUGGAAAAGCACAUUUUUUCACUACAACCACUUGUUUCUCUGCCUGUUCUGUGCAUAAAGGAUGGUAAGAGGACAGUGGUACAGGGAGCUCAUGUACCCUUCAUUCCGUUCUCGCCCCCAGCUGAAGAAAGAAAACCGGCAUAUGCAGUAACAUGGCCUAAAAAAUGGCUUAAAUUAGAUAUUCAGAAAAAAA